rnacentral:lncRNA from 1 species
AUGCCUCCUCUUAAAAAAAAAUUCAGACUUAUAGAUGGAACAUGGCAUGUUGCAGACAACAACACCAGUGAUGAUGACUGGGACUCUGAUGAUGAGAGAGCUGUGUCUAUUGGUAGUGAGGGUGUUCAUGGCAGAUAUAUUCGGUUUGCACGAAAAAAUGGUUUGCCUUAUGGUGAUAACGUGGCGGGCAAUGUCGACACGCUGUCUAGAUGGGCUAGAGUGCGGGCUAGACGCAUCGAUGCCUUGACAAGACGUGUGACACAUGCUGUCUCCUCCCAGAAUCGUACUGGUCGUACUGUUGCUAAUAGUGUUAAUUCUGCCCAUGCUGCUGCUUGUUCUAAUAUGUCUAUUGAGGGGCAGACUGCUGGAGAUACUGUUGGGGCUAACCGAGCUAAUUUGCCCUGCGUUACUGAAGAUACUGUUGUGGCUAACCGUGCUAAUCUGACCUGUGCUACUGCUGUAGAUACUGAUGUGGCUAACCGUGCUAAUCUGACCUGUGUUGCUGAAGAUACUGAUGUGGCUAUCCGCGCUAAUCUGACCUGUGCUGCUGCUGUAGAUACUGAUGUGGCUAACCACGCUAAUCUGACCUGUGCUGCUGCUGUAGAUACUGAUGUGGCUAACCGUGCUAAUCUGACCUGUGCUGCUGCUGUAGAUACUGAUGUGGCUAACCGUGCUAAUCUGACCUGUGCUGCUGCUGUAGAUACUGUUGGGGCUAACCGCGCUAAUCUGACCUGUGCUGCUGCUGUAGAUACUGAUGUGGCUAACCGUGCUAAUCUGACCUGUGCUGCUGAAGAUACUGAUGUGGCUAACCGUGCUAAUCUGACCUGUGCUGCUGCUGUAGAUACUGUUGGGGCUAACCGAGCUAAUUUGAUCUGUGCUACUGAAGAUACUGUUGUGGCUAACCGUGCAAAUCUGAUCUGUACUGCUGAAGAUACUGAUGUGGCUAACCGCGCUAAUCUGACCUGUGCUGUUGCUGUAGUUACUAUUGUGGCUAACCGGGCUAAUCUGACCUGUGAUGAUGAAGAAAUUGUUGUGAAUGCUUAUGCUAAUGUGACCCAUGGUGGUGGAGGUGCUUCUGCUAAUGUUUAUGCAAAUGAAAAUUCUUCUGAAACUGUUUGUGUUGGUGGCAAUAAUGUCUCUGUUAUUGAGAUAACCGACGAUGAUGAUGACAAUGCUAGUCUUGAUAGUUUGGGAGUUGAUACCUCAGUUAAUGUUGAUACUUACGCUGAUGCGGUUAUUGAGAUAAACGCUGAUGAUGUUGAUGUCGAAGUUAGUUCCGAUAGCCCCGGGUCUGAUAUUGUGGAUGUUACUAUUCAGGCUGACAGAGCUAUGAUGCAGAGCCAUGUAGACCCCCUCAGCUUUGGUGGUUCUUGUUCUAUAAAUCAGAUAGGCGGUGGUUGUGAUAGAGAAGUAGAACAGGAUGCAGGGGUUGGGCGUGAGUUGGGGUUCGUUUCCUCUGAUGAUGAUGAUGAUGAUGAUGAGGUGAGACCGUCGAUCCAAGUCCGUGACAUACCUAAUUUUAACGCAUUUGAGCUGCGCCAGCGUCUCGAUUUCAGAGACAUCAGUCUUGAAAACCCAGAGUUGGUUCCUAUGAGAAUCAGAGAGAGGUUGUCUGGUGUGAUUGAGCAUGCAUUAGGUAGGGCACAUCCCGGUAGUAUUUUAAACGCUGUGUUGAGAGGGCCAUCCCUUGCCAGUGACGUACAGGCUAUUUUAAAUUCUGACAAUCAAUACAAUACCGAUUUGUUUCUCGAAGAAAUUUCCCAAGUUUUACAGAGUAAUGAUACGUCCAUGUCUGAUGACGAAUUGGAGUUUAUUGUCACAACAGUGCAAAAUAGAAGCGGAGGAAAGCGUAAGAGUAUUAAUAAAAUACCGUACGAUAAGAUUUUGUCUGAGAAAACACGUUUUCUAUACAAUCCUGACAACACUGGAGACAAUAAUCUAUGCUUCAGUCUCUGUCUAGCGCGUUUUAAGAAAAAUCAAAAAGAAGAGGAGAAACAAAAACUGCUUAAACAAACAUCAAAUGAGCAAAGACUGAUUGAACAACCAUUGAACGAAUCAGCAUAUGCAGAAAACGUUCAUCUGAAAAUUAUGGGUGAUCUCACAAGCUGUGUGUCCUUUGAUAAAGUGGCUGCAUUUGAGAGGGAGAUAAAAGCAAAAAUCAUAGUAUUCCACCACACAGAUGGUCGCAAGCGUCUGGAGUGUUACAAAACACAUGACGAGACCAACAAACAUACUGUCUGGCUAUACCUGAGGAAUAGUCAUUAUUAUUUGAUAGAAAAGCCGACAGGAUUCUUUGGCUCCGCAUAUGUGUGCAAUUAUUGUUACGAGACAUAUGAAGCAGUCCUGAGUCACUGCUGUAAACUCAGAUGCAAUGUCUGCUUUACAGACGCAUGCCACAGACAUCCAACCAAAACUGUGAAAUGUAGUGAUUGCAAACGUAUAUGCAGAUCUGCUUUUUGUCUCGAGCAACACAAGAUGCUGGAGAAAACACAUGAAACAAUACCGUGUGAUAGGCUUAAGUAUUGUAGCACAUGCGGCAGUGUGUACACAGUGAGAAAAAACGGUAAUAUACACAAAUGUCGACCUGCUAGGUGUCGACACUGCAAUGAGGAAAUAAUGGAUGUCAAGGCACCCCACCAAUGCUAUAUCCAACCUAUGAAAAAGAAAAAGCCGACAGAUAAAUACCUGGUAUUUGAUUUUGAGACUCGAUACCACAACGGUAGGCAUGAAGCAAAUUUUUGCUGUGUGAAAGACCUUAAUGGUAAAAACAUGUACUGUUUCCCCGGCCUAAAUUGUGUAGAAUCAUUUGUGGGGCGCUAUCGAAAACCCAAAUUUUGUGAAUACACAUUCAUUGCCCACAACGCAUCAGGGUUUGACAAUUAUAUUUUGCUAGAAUAUAUGGUAAAACAAGGGAUCACACCGGAACUGACAAUGCGUGGUAGCAGAGUCAUUUUGAUGUACGACAAGGCAUACAAACAGCGUUGGAUAGAUUCUUUCAGUUUUCUACCCAUGCGUUUGUCAAAAAUACCAUCAGCACUAGGAUUUGAGGACAUGAUGAAAGGUUAUUUCCCUCACAAGUUUAACACACGGGGAAAUGAGAAGUAUGUGGGUCCCUAUCCAGAACCGUACUACUAUGGUUAUGAUAGUAUGAGUGAGGGCGAAAAAUCCACAUUCAUGGCAUGGUAUAACACCGUCUGCAAAGAAACCUUCGACUUUGAGAAAGAGAUUCAGCGGUACUGCGUCAACGAUGUGGAUGUCUUACUCAGAGGAUGUAGUAUCUAUCAGGAUACUUUUAAGAAAUGCACAGAACUUGAUCCCUUUGUGUUUACCACAUUGGCAUCUAGUUGUAUGGGUGUGUUUAAAACAUUGUUUCUGGAGAAAAACACACUCGCUCUCACUCAUGACGGGGCAUACGUGGGUCAGUAUAAGGCGUAUUCAGACGUGUCUAUACAGUGGCUUGAAUAUCUGAGUCACACCCGGAAGGUUGAGAUAAGACACGCCGUCAACCAUGGUGAACAUCAGAUAGGUCCAUACUUUGUGGAUGGUUAUCAACCUGAUACAAAAAAGUGUUAUGAAUUUGCAGGAUGUUUCUACCACGGGUGUGUCAAGUGUUAUGCUCAAGCUGGUUUGAAUCCUGUGACCAGAGAGACUUACGGUGUGCUCUAUGGGCAGUUCAUGUCAAAGGUAAAUGAUUUGAAGGUUAGAUAUGGUCAUGCUGUUGAAGUGAUGUGGGAGUGUGAAUGGCUCCAGCAUAGUAAGAAUGAUUUAAGCGUUCAAACGUUUCUACAGAGUUACAGGAAACCAGAGCGUCUGGACCCCCGAGAGGCUCUGUUUGGGGGCCGUACAAAUGCAUUGAAGUUGUAUCACAAGGUGUCAGAUGGUGAGAAGGUGAGAUAUUAUGACUUCACCAGUCUGUACCCGGCUGUGAACUCACAAAAACAGUAUCCGAUUGGUCACCCUCAGAUUAUCUAUAGGAAUUUUGAUUCCAUUGAUAAGUACUUUGGUUUUGUGAAGUGUGAUGUGCUCCCGCCGAGAGGAUUAUUCCAUCCAGUCCUACCCUACAGGUGUCACAAAAAACUCAUGUUCCCAUUAUGUCGUACCUGCGCCGAGGAGUUGAACCAAACCAGUGACUGUACACACAGUGACCAAGACAGACAUUUGUCAGGUGUGUGGGUCUCGUUUGAGCUUCAGAAAGCAGUUGAAAAAGGAUACAAGAUUGUGAACAUUGACGAGGUGUGGCAUUUCCCCAACAAGACAGAUACAUUGUUCAAAGACUAUGUUAAGACAUUUCUCAAAUGUAAACAGGAGGCCUCCGGCUAUCCAGGGCAUGUCAAAACGCCUGAGGAAAAGGAGCGAUACAUUGAGGAAUAUUUCAAAAAGGAGGGUAUCCAGCUAGACCCAGACAAAAUCUGUGUCAACAAGGCAGUGAGGAGUUGCAACAAGCUUCUGCUGAACUCGUUGUGGGGUAGAUUUAGCAUGAGGAAUAAUCUGCCGGCAUGUGAGUUGAUUACAGAUUCACAAAGAUUCACGCAGCUUAUGUUCGGUGAUCAAUAUGAUGUGCGCCAGUUUUGUUUUAUAUCAGAUGAUGUGGCUAUGGUGCAGUGGUGCCAUGCUGACCUUAAAGCAGCCCGAACGAAAGACGUAAAUGUCUUUAUCGGUGCCUUUACCACGGCUCAUGCACGCCUCAUGCUUUAUGAUGUGAUGGAGAAGCUAGAUCAGAGGGUGUUGUAUUGUGAUACGGACAGCGUUAUUUUUACUUCCCGGCCGGGGGAGUGGGUACCUCCUUUAGGUGAAUACCUGGGUGAUUUGACUGAUGAGUUGAAUGAUGGCGAUGUGUGUAACCUCCCUGAAGAAGACUACAUCACAGAAUUUGUGUCAGGGGGUCCAAAAUGUUAUGCCUAUCACACUGUUUGCGGCAAAACAAUGGUCAAAUGUAAGGGUGUGACACUAAACUCCAAAAAUACAUCAACGGUCACCCAUAAGUCUCUGGUGGGUCUGGUUCAGGCUUUUGUCGCCAAUCAGAAUACAGACGCACACGUGAUGACUGUUUCUGAAACCAUUAAAAGAGACAAAAAGCACUUCCACCUCAAGAAUGACACAGUUACAAAAAAAAUUCACGUUGUCUACAACAAACGCAGGGUAUUGGACGAUUACACUACUGUACCUUAUGGCUAUUAG